AUACGGAGGGUGCAAGCGUUACUAGGAAUCACUGGGCGUAAAGGACGCGUAGGCGGGUUUGUAAGUCAGGUGUGAAAUCCUACAGCUUAACUGUAGAACUGCACUUGAAACUACAGACCUAGAGUAUGGGAGGGGCAGAUGGAAUUAGUGGUGUAGGGGUAAAAUCCGUAGAUAUCACUAGGAAUACCGAAAGCGAAGGCGAUCUGCUGGAACAUAACUGACGCUAAGGCGUGAAAGCGUGGGGAGCGAACAGGAUUAGAAACCCUAGUAGUCC
rnacentral:rRNA from 1 species